GUAGGGCUACCCGCUGAACUUAAGCAUAUCAAUAA
rnacentral:rRNA from 2 species